GGGGGGAGGUUUGUAAUUUUUUAAAAUUCUGCAUCCGUUCCUGGGUAGUUCUGAAAGAUCUCAAGCCCCCAUGCUAUGCGUUUUGGAUUUCACAAAGUAUUCAAAGAAGGAAAAUAAUUCAGAGAGGUGGGAAGGACGAACUUAAAAGUGAUGAGCUUCCUAACCUCCAGUUCCUAAGUUUCUCCGUGAGCUACUACCCACUAAAUGCUUCGUUUGCAGAUAUAAACGAAGGAGAGAGGGGGUGGGGAGAGAGAGAGAGAAAAGUUCCAGCCUAGAUCUUCCAGACAGGGGUCCAUCACAUAAAGUGGGAAGUCAACACGAUGGCCAACACAGGGGCUACAGUCACUUUUAAGUUUCUUGCAAAAAGCUAAGACCAACACCCCAACGAGUGACUCAUCUGGGGGCUUUGUAAGCGGACUUUGUUUGCUCUCUCCACUCUGCGUCUCCCCGCUCGGCUGAAGGAAACGCAGGAGCGGGCCUCGGGGGAAAGCGCUCGGGAGAAGGUCGGGCCUCCCGGAGUCCCGGCCCCGCUCCCGCCCUGCCCGGCCCGGGGAUUCCCCGCGCUGCACCGGACCGCGCAGGAGCUGGACAGAGGAACCGGGUGCCAGCUGCCGGGGCUCGGCCCGGGCUGGGGCAAGGAAAACCGAAAUCCAGUGAAAAAGUUUGGGCAAGGAAGACACCCUCACAACAACCCCCUCAACUGGGUAAACACGAGGGGGCGGCGGGAAGGGGGUGUGGGGGGGAACCCAGGGAUACCCGCUAUUCGCGGGAUGUGGGAGGAGGGUCAGAAAGUCAACACACUAGCACACACACAAAAAGAGGAGAGGGCGGCGAGGAGAAAGGAGGCGGGCGAAAGAUGGAUGAAGUGUGCCGGGAGCGGGAGCAGGAGCGGGGACCCCUCACCCUCGACGCGGCCCGCGCCAGCCCGCAGCAGGGGCCAAGCGGCCCGCGCUCUCCAGGGCCCGGCGCCCUCCUUUCUUCGGGCCGCGGGGUGGUGACAGCGGCGGCCUCCUCCCUUCCCCACGGGGCGGGAGGGAAGGGGAGCCUCCUCAGCCGGAGGAGGCGACAACAAAGCGGCGGCGGCGGCGGCGGCGGCGGCAGCGGCGGCUCCUCAACAUGGCAGCGCCGAGCGCGGCCACUUCCGGCUAAGCCCUCGGCGCUCCGCUAAGACUUGCCAUCGCCCUCUGGACGGCCUUCCAACUCAAGCAGGGAGUCCCACUGGGGUGCAGCCUUAGAUCCUCCCAGUGUGGAGGGAAACACUUCCCACGCAUAAAGAUGUCAUUACUGGGUUAUUCUUGGGUGAAGGGCUGAGCUUCCCCCUCUCCCCUUCACUCCAGACAUGAAGUGAAAUUCUAUCCCCAAACCCUCCCUCUCCCGCCAAAAUAACCACAAACAAAAAAAAAACAAGUGAGAAAGUAUAGACAUAAAAUUACUUUAGUGUUUUACUACAGUCUGCUUCCUUCUGCACCCCCGAAACAAAAAUCAAACUUCUGUUUGUGCAUCAAGAGAUGUCACUGAGGUGACCCCAGCCUGUUUGCAGUUCCAAGUCUUCUGUGUAGGCGUCACCGUUACUGAACUUUGUAGAUGAGGAGUCUAUAUGAUGAUGUCCUGAACGUUUUCUAUCCUUUCCUCGAUAGUAGUUGUUACUGGGAAUAUCAGAGACACGCUAUUAUUAAAGAAAUGUCUCCAGUCCAAGAAACCUGUGGUGGGGAAGUGAGGGGACAGGCUAUAUCAAUGGUAUUUUUAUAAACUUAAAAGAAAAAAUCCUCAGAUGGGUACAUUAUUUCAAAACAUCAGCAUCUUUCAAAAUCAACUCUUAUCUCAUUCCCUCCAUUUACUCCCAUCCAGUCACGUCUGAUGCUGGUCAUCUCCAACUUCCCCAAAUACUUAAACAAUGUAAUUAAUAUGGCUGGUGAGUACUAAGGUAAAGAGGUACAAUAAUUUGACAGUCUGUUUCUUUUUCAUUCUGUAUACGACUAUAUUCCCCCUCCCCUUCCUUCCUUCCAUCAGUCACCAGAAUGAAGGGCUGGAAAACGUAGGUCUGGUUCCUUUUAGAUCGGAUUCCCCAUUGGAUACUGUCUGGAGGCCAUGGGGAUGAAUAAGUUCUGCAGUUUGGAUCAGUAGCAGAAGCAGGUAACACACCAGGAAACUGGUCAGCCUAAGAGGGGGACAGAAAAUGACGAAGAGUUUCUGAUACAUUCCUCAGCUAAACUACAGUGAUUGCUGCCUGUCUCCUAUAAAUGUCCAUUUUUCUCCUUUGGACAGAAAAUAUGGCUUAGGAAGCCUAAGUUUAUAUGUACAUGCAAGCUAAGGAGGGAACUAAGAUGCAAACCUAAGGAAUUAGCAAGGUAAACGAAGAUCUUUAUGUUUUUGCUUUGAUUUGAACAUUGCAUAUCUUUUUAUUUUCAUUCAGUGGACAGUCUCUGCAGCUUCCCUGUCUUAACACAUUCACUUCAAGUUUCCUGUACUGCAUUCUCCUGUUUUCCUCCUCCUCUAAGACUCUCCACCUUAGCUGCUGCCUUUCAAACUGGUGAAAAUGAAGCUUCAGGAUUAGAAAGACU
rnacentral:lncRNA from 1 species